rnacentral:ncRNA from 1 species
UCCCGAGGCGAUUAAAAGGGAAUCAGGUGAGAGGCCUGGACAGACCCGCUACUGUAUGUUCCAUCUCAACCUUGCAGACACGAUACGAGUGUCACUGACCGAAACGGUCGGGAAGGCAGUCAGCAAGGGGAACGAGUCAGGAGACCUGCCAUGCGAUUUAG